GCGGACGUAGCGCAGUUGGUAGCGCGACACCUUGCCAAGGUGUAGGUCGCCGGUUCGAUCCCGGUCGUCCGCUCCA
rnacentral:tRNA from 4 species